UACGAAGGGUCACAGCGUUGUUCGGAAUUACUGGGCGUAAAGGGCGCGUAGGCGGCGUGACAAGUCACUUGUGAAAUCUCUGGGCUUAACCCAGAACGGCCAAGUGAAACUGUUGUGCUAGAGUGCAGAAGGGGCAAUCGGAAUUCUCGGUGUAGCGGUGAAAUGCGUAGAUAUCGAGAGGAACACCAGAGGUGAAGACGGGUUGCUGGGCUGACACUGACGCUGAGGCGCGAAAGCCAGGGGAGCAAACGGG
rnacentral:rRNA from 1 species